GGCCCGCACAAGCGGUGGAGUAUGUGGUUUAAUUCGAUGCAACGCGAAGAACCUUACCAGGGUUUGACAUCCUGCGAAUCUCUUGGAAACGAGAGAGUGCCUUCGGGAACGCAGUGACAGGUGGUGCAUGGCUGUCGUCAGCUCGUGUCGUGAGAUGUUGGGUUAAGUCCCGCAACGAGCGCAACCCACGUCGUUAGUUGCCAGCAUUUUAGUUGGGCACUCUAGCGAGACCGCCGGUGAUAAACCGGAGAAGGUGUGGAUGACGUCAAGUCAUCAUGCCCCUUACAUCUGGGCUACACACGUACUACAAUGCUACGGACAAAGGGCAGCAAACUCGCGAGAGCUAGCAAAUCCCAUAAACGUGGCUCAGUUCAGA
rnacentral:rRNA from 1 species